GAGAUGGGGACGACGGGGGCGCAGGCCGUGGUUGGGACGCGGAGGGAUGGGGGCGCGGGCCCGGCCACGGGACCACCCGUGGGGCCGGUCAGGCGGGUGGGGGGGCACUGGGCACGGGCCGUGCCGGGCGUCCGAGGCGCGGAGGGGCAGGGGGGUCUCGUGCAGCAGGGAAACUGAGUUUGCCCGGCGGGAAAGCGUUCGAGGGGGAGGAUGGUGGAUGCGUCCCGGUUUGGUUUUUCUCCUGACGUCAGUUUUCCUUCUGGUCCAAGGGCCUCCCGGAUGCGCGGAGCAGAAAGAAGGCGCCGGCGGCCGGUGAGUACCAGGCCGUCCCCGCAUGGGCAGCCUAGGCGCGCGCCGCCCAGCUCAGGGGCGCGUCCGGACAGCCCCCGGAAACCUGUGCCCUUUCAAGUUCUUGGGACUUACUUCACAGACACGGACGCCGACGAGACGGGCGGCCGUUUCCCCAGCGCCACCGCCGCCAGGUACUAAAGGAACUGGGAGAGGCGCGGGUCUGUCUCUUACACCCAGGCUCAGCCACCAGGGAGUGAGGGAAAUGCCGAAAUGUGUCACGUAGCCUGGUUAAGGCUUUGAGCCGAGGAGUUAAAAACUCUGUGCCGUAAAACCUACCAUCGCCACGGGUCCUUCUUGUCGCUUCCUUUGUAGCACUACCCUGGGGAAGAGCUGACGACGGGCCAGAAAAGCAGCACUGAGCAUCGCUGGCCCCAAGGCCCCGAAUUUCCAUCGAGUUGUACAAUGUCCUUUCAUUCAGGACACCAGGCACGUCUCACGUUAAGCAGUCCGAGCCAUGGCAUCCGAAUCGCAGUAGACACCUGACAAGUCCCCGAGUCCAUGUGCAGGACCGGGAUGGAUUUAAUCUAAAUGGCGGCGGCCGCGGCUCUGCGACAGGAACCUCCUGCCCCUGCACUUCCUGUCUGCUGACCAAAAUGAUCCUCGACUAGUGCAUCGCGGUGGCUUCUUCACUGGCUUCCAAAUACAUGAAGGCUUGUGGGCCAGUGCACCCAAAAAACAUUAAGGAAACCAAAAAUUAAGUUCUACAGUUGUUCAGUCAGUUCAGAUUUAGUCACGUGGCUGAAAUGCGCAGGUGCUCAGCUGGCAUUUCAGCCGCGCUCUGCUCCACGGCCGCCGCAGCUCCCCGUACCCGUGUGCCCGAGGCAUGUUGGUCAGUACUGCACACAGGCAGCCCCAGCCCUCCUGGAGGCAGUUUUUAGGAGUCAUUUUAUUUGCUGUCUGCUUUAUAUAAAGCCUGUGUGGCUGUGCAAACGUGUGUCUUUUGUCAAAGCUGAUUUCUUUUCUAAAUAAAUAUCCUUUGGGGCUCUCCUUCCUUCCUCA